CAAGGAGGAAAUUGCCCCUGAUCAGUAUAGACUGGUCCACAGAUCUCAUGAGUUAAUAGAUCUACUUUAGGGUAUAUCACCAAUCAAGAGAAGGAAAGAGGAGGGAACUGCCUUGAUCAUUACAGGUCCACCUCCAGUGGCAG
rnacentral:lncRNA from 1 species